ACAUAACUGAUGCCUCCGCGUAUCGACUUUGUGCGCAUUUUAGCUAUUAUGUGUUCUUUUAAUUAAAAUGAUUCUUUUUAAGAUUCAUCUAUUAAAAAUUUGCUUCGGCAUAAUUUUUUUUGAUGAUCUUGUUACUUUGAGUAAAUUAGAGUGUUCAAAGCAAACAGAUAUAGCAUUUGUGCGUUUGAAUACUACAGCAUGGAAUAACAAAAUUGAACAAGUCAGAAUUUUUUUGUUCUUUUUUCUUAUUUUGGCUUAGUUACGAUUAAUAGGAGUAGCUUGGGGGCAUUUGUAUUCAGAUGUCAGAGGUGAAAUUCUUAGAUUUUCUGGAGACAAACAACUGCGAAAGCAUUUGCCUAAAAUACUUCCAUUAAUCAAGAACGAAAGUUAAGGGAGUGAAGACGAUCAGAUACCGUCGUAAUCUUAACCAUAAACUAUGCCGACUAGGCUUUGGAUGAAAGAUUUUAAAAUAAGAGUUUUUCUUUUCUCUCCGGAGAUUAGAACUCUUAGAUUGCUUCCUUCAGUGCCUUAUGAGAAAUCAAAGUCUUUGGGUUCUGGGGCGAGUAUUCGCGCAAGCGAGAAAGUUAAAAGAAUUGACGGAAGGGCACCACCAGGCGUGGAGCUUGCGGCUUAAUUUGACUCAACACGGGAAAACUCACUAGUUUAAGACAAGAGUAGGAUUGACAGAUUAAUAGCUCUUUCUUGAUUUCUUGGAUGGUGAUGCAUGGCCGUUUUUAGUUCGUGAAUAUGAUUUGUCUGGUUAAUUCCGAUAACGAACGAGAUCUUAACCUGCUAAUUAGCGGCAAAUACGAUAUAUUCUUAUGUAGAAUUGAAUAUAGUGGAUUUGUUGGAUUUUGAAGAAAAUAUUGGAAUUACGUUUAAAUGUGAUUCCUUUCCCUUCUCUACUUAAUUUACAUUUCCAUCUAUUUCUUUUUUGCGUAUGAAUGUAUUUGCUUGAUUGUAAAGCUUCUUAGAGGAACGAUGUGUG
rnacentral:rRNA from 1 species